rnacentral:rRNA from 1 species
UUCCGGUUGAUCCCGCCGGACCUGACUGCUAUCGGAUUGAUACUAAGCCAUGCAAGUCUUUGUAGUAAUACAAGGCAUACGGCUCAGUAACACGUAGUCAACCUACCCUAUGGAUGGGGAUAAUCUCGGGAAACUGAGCAUAAUACCCAACAGAUCAUCAAUUCUGGAAUGGUUGAUGAUUCAAAUGAUUUUUCGCCAUAGGAUGGGACUGCGGCCUAUCAGCUUGUUGGUGAGGUAAUGGCCCACCAAGGCAAUUACAGGUACGGGCUCUGAGAGGAGAAGCCCGGAGAUGGGUACUGAGACAAGGACCCAGGCCCUAUGGGGCGCAGCAGGCGAGAAAACUUUGCAAUGUGCGAAAGCACGACAAGGUUAAUCCGAGUGAUUUCUGCUAAAGGAAUCUUUUACCAGUUCUAAAAAUACUGGCGAAUAAGGGGUGGGCAAGUUCUGGUGUCAGCCGCCGCGGUAAAACCAGCACCUCAAGUGGUCAGGAGGAUUAUUGGGCCUAAAGCAUCCGUAGCCGGCUCUGUAAGUUUUCGGUUAAAUCUAUAUGCUCAACGUAUAGGCUGCCGAAAAUACUGCACAGCUAGGGAAUGGGAGAGGUAGACGGUACUCGGUAGGAAGGGGUAAAAUCCUUUGAUCUAUCGAUGACCACCUGUGGCGAAGGCGGUCUACCAGAACAUGUUCGACGGUGAGGGAUGAAAGCUGGGGGAGCAAACCGGAUUAGAUACCCGGGUAGUCCCAGCUGUAAACGAUGCAGACUAGAUAAUGCACUGGCACAUAGCCAGUGCAGUGUCUCAGGGAAGCCGUUAAGUCUGCCGCCUGGGAAGUACGUACGCAAGUAUGAAACUUAAAGGAAUUGGCGGGGGAGCACCACAAGGGGUGAAGCCUGCGGUUCAAUUGGAGUCAACGCCGGG